rnacentral:rRNA from 1 species
GUGGGAAAUCUUCCGCAAUGGACGAAAGUCUGACGGAGCAACGCCGCGUGAGUGAUGAAGGUCUUCGGAUUGUAAAGCUCUGUUAAUCGGGACGAAAGAGCCUAGUGUGAAUAAUGCUAGGAAGUGACGGUACCGGAAUAGAAAGCCACGGCUAACUACGUGCCAGCAGCCGCGGUAAUACGUAGGUGGCAAGCGUUGUCCGGAAUUAUUGGGCGUAAAGCGCGCGCAGGCGGAUCUGCCAGUCUGUCUUAAAAGUUCGGGGCUUAACCCCGUGAUGGGAUGGAAACUACAGAUCUAGAGUAUCGGAGAGGAAAGUGGAAUUCCUAGUGUAGCGGUGAAAUGCGUAGAUAUUAGGAAGAACACCAGUGGCGAAGGCGACUUUCUGGACGAAAACUGACGCUGAGGCGCGAAAGCCAGGGGAGCGAACGGGAUUAGAAACCCUUGUAGUCC